rnacentral:rRNA from 1 species
CACCAGCAGCUCAAGUGGUGAUCGCGUUUACUGGGUUUAAAGCGUGCGUAGUCGGUUCGGCAAGUUUUCUGUGAAAUCCUACGGCUUAACUGUAGGGAUUGCAGAAAAUACUACCGGGCUUGAGGCCGGGGUAGGUGUAGGGUAUUUCGAGGGUAGCGGUGAAAUGCUAUAAACCCUGGAGGACCACCAGUAGCGAAGGCGCUACACUGGAACGGGCCUGACGAUGAGGUACGAGAGCUAGGGGAGCGAACAGGAUUAGAUACCCUGGUAGUCCUAGCCGUAAACGAUGUGGGUUUAGUGUUCCCCGAACCUCGUGUUCGGGGAGUGCUGAAGGGAAACCGUUAAACCCACCACCUGGGGAGUACGGUCGCAAGGCUGAAACUUAAAGGAAUUGGCGGGGGAACACCACAAGGGGUGGAUGCUGCGGCUC